GACGAACGCUGGCGGCGUGCUUAACACAUGCAAGUCGAACGGAAAGGCCCUGCUUUUGUGGGGUGCUCGAUUGGCGAACGGGUGAGUAACACGUGAGUAACCUGCCCUUGACUGUGGGAUAACUUCAGGAAACUGGGGCUAAUACCGGAUAGGAGCUCCUGCUGCAUGGUGGGGGUUGGAAAGUGUCGGCGGUUGGGGAUGGAUUCGCGGCUUAUCAGCUUGUUGGUGGGGUAGUGGCUUACCAAGGCUUUGACGGGUAGCCGGCCUGAGAGGGUGACCGGCCACAUUGGGACUGAGAUACGGACCAGACUCCUACGGGAGGCAGCAGGGGGGAACAUUGCACAAUGGGCGGAAGCCUGAUGCAGCAACGCCGCGUGCGGGAUGACGGCCUUCGGGUUGUAAACCGCUUUCGCCUGUGACGAAGCGUGAGUGACGGUAAUGGGUAAAGAAGCCCCGGCUAACUACGUG
rnacentral:rRNA from 1 species